GAGUCGAAGCAAGAAAAUCCAAACAAUGAGCUUCCGAUUCUUUAGAUUCUUGAGAAUUGGAAUCAUGUCGCGUUGAUGAUGGUGUGAGGGUUGAAGGCUGGUGGAUGAAUGAAGAUGCUUUGUGGUGAAGAUUCAAGGUUGUUGAGUGGUGGUUGAUGAUGAUGGUCAAGAUAUGCGCAAAUGAUGAAUGGAGGUUAUAAGAAAAAUGGUGGAGAAUCGAGAGUGCUGAAGUGUGUGAAGUUUGGGAUGACGAUGAAUCGAGAGAAGUCGGGGAGCUUCAGAAUUCUAUCACGUGCGGAGGGGUGAAGGUUGCUGGUGAUGGUGAAGUGUGAAGAAUGAAGGAGAUGAGAAGAAGAUGAGAGUAAGAUGAUGAAGAAUGGUGGGUGUUUGAACUUUUAACUAUGCACUUCUUCUUUCAAUGUUUGCAAGCGAAACGAUGAGGAAGCUUGUGCUUGUGCCUUUUCUAGAUGUGUGAAGCUGCCUUUUUAUAUGAGCAAUGAUUGGGUUUCUUGGUGGUACAAACAAAUAUGGCAGUGCUGUAGAUAACCUGGAGCUGUGACUGAAAUACAAUGUGGAUGGAGGACCGAAACUUAUUGGCCAUGAUCAUGAGGUAUGGAAUACACACGGGACCGGCUUUCUUUGUGAAGUUGAGUUCUGUUAGGAGAAUGAAUUAGUUAUAGGUUUGCAAUUCUGUUAUUCUCUAUUAUUGAAGUUGAAGUUAAGCCGGAACUGUUAGUAAAACAGUUAGUAAUAGCUGAGGUUCUAUUAGCAAGUUAAUUGAAUGAUUAGGAGAAUUAGUUAUAUUCGGUUAGGUUGGCACGAAAGGUGGUUAAUUUUGGAACUUGUUUUGUAAUUGUUUUUGGUGGUUAGAGACCUAAUAUAUUGACUGGCAGCUUGGUAUGAUAUGUGCAGGUGUGGUUUAAUUUGUGUAUGAUGCUGAAAGUGGCAUAACGUGUUGUUUGGAUAUGAUUUACCAAUGUGUAGGAAUGCUGCAGGUUUACAGGGACUGAAAUGGUUUUAUCUGUUCGGUUUUGGUGAUUUUCUGAAUAGUUAUGGAUGCGAUGCCGUUAGUUCCCGUUGGUUAUGAAGUGCUGCAUGAAUUGAAGUGUUUGGAAGUUUGUCAGUAGGGUCAUAUAGUGCAAGGAAUUAGCUAGGAGAUCAUGGAGAGGCUAUAAGCUUGAUUCAAAGAAUUUAGCAUGAGGGAACAUUGGCAAGUGAUGAAAUUGAAGUGGAAUGGUAGAAUAGAACUGUCAGUAGCUGGAUUAGUUUAAGAUUAGUGCAUUUGUGCGACUUGAAUUGUCAUGUAUGUAUUGAUUUUUAUGGUGGAACUUGGAUAUUGUAAGGAAUUGGAUUGGAUAUGAAAAUGUAACACUGUAACUAGGAAUUAAUUGAAUUAUGGACAUGGUUCAUGAAAUUGUAAUGAAACGGUUUGGCAAUGAAAUGGUUCUUCUUUUUGUAACUAUUUGACAUGAUGUGAUGAAGUGAUAAGAUUUCUUUAAA